GGUGAACGCUGGCGGCGUGCCUAAUACAUGCAAGUCGAGCGAAUGGAUUAAGAGCUUGCUCUUAUGAAGUUAGCGGCGGACGGGUGAGUAACACGUGGGUAACCUGCCCAUAAGACUGGGAUAACUCCGGGAAACCGGGGCUAAUACCGGAUAACAUUUUGAACCGCAUGGUUCGAAAUUGAAUGGCGGCUUCGGCUGUCACUUAUGGAUGGACCCGCGUCGCAUUAGCUAGUUGGUGAGGUAACGGCUCACCAAGGCAACGAUGCGUAGCCGACCUGGGAGGGUGAUCGGCCACACUGGGACUGAGACACGGCCCAGACCCCUACGGGAGGCAGCAGUAGGGAAUCUUCCGCAAUGGACGAAAGUCUGACGGAGCAACGCCGCGUGAGUGAUGAAGGCUUUCGGGUCGUAAAACUCUGUUGUUAGGGAAGAACAAGUGCUAGUUGAAUAAGCUGACACCUUGACGGUACCUAACCAGAAAGCCACGGCUAACUACGUGCCAGCAGCCGCCGUAA
rnacentral:rRNA from 1 species